CGACGUCCAGGGGCCCUUCUUCAGAGGCGGCCCGCCGCCCCUGUGGGGCGACCCUCCGCUGCUGCCGUCGUCGCCCACCGGCGAGUCCAUCUGGUCCUCCUGAUGCAUCAUCUCGCAGUCGCUCUCGCUCUUCACCCGGGUGCUAUGCGGUUCGUCCGCUUGGAUAAAAGAGUUACUACUCUAAGAGACGCGGCCGGUGUUAAAAGACUAGGUACAUGAUGUAACCAGACACAAAAACUACGCCCAACUUGGGUUAAAACUUAUAAAAGCUAAAGAUGCAUUUCCAUCU